AUUUUGAAGUGGCAAGGGCAACUGAAAGAGAGGAGAAUGGAGCCUGGCAUUUCACCUCUGGGAAAUGGAACAUUAAAAGAAAUUUCCAAUGAAAACAUGACACUAAAAUCUGAGAUUCAGAUGCAAAAAGAUUGGUGAAAUCGUGUUCCAGCCAUAUGAUGUCAUGAUGAGAGUCAGCAAAGGAUGGCCAGUCCAGGGCUGCUUCAUCACCUGCUAAAGAACUGGACCAGUUCCAUAUAUCGAACCUGAAACUGGUGGCCAGGACCCUUGCAACCCAAGCCAGGACCCUCACAGAUGCCUCCCCCCAAGCCUCAAAAAUCAAGCACUCUUUGUUCCACCAUGCCUACCCAACAGGUCAGGGAACACACCAGGCUAAUAUCCUGAAGUGUUUGGAGGCCCAUCCAGGAGCCAUCUGUUGCUUACCUCUGUGUUCUCCAGUUUGGGAGACCUCAUGGAAAAUUCAACAUAGAUUCAUCUGCAGACAGAACAACAAAGUCAGCAUUUAACUGUGCUGAAUUUUACAGAAUUUUCUCCUGCGGAUGGUAUUGAUAUCUUUUAAGUGAAUGGAGUAAUGUGGGAAUGAUUCUCUGAGUUAUUGACAGGUGUCCAGAGAGGAGCUGUGUAAGAAACAUUUUGAUCCUUGAGAAUCGCAUCAUAAUGGAUUGGGCUAAUCUCCUGGCUUUUCAGAUCUGCCCAUGUCUAAGACAUAUCUAAGGUCACAUUGUAGCUAUAGACUAAUCAGACUUCUUGCUUCAUCUUGCUCAGAUGCCAAGUUAAAGCACUUCCCAGGCUCUGACACCAUUCCUGUUAUAAAAGGUCAGAGUUCCCAGAUACAUCGGAAAAUAUCACAGACAUCCAGAGCCUCACAUUCACUUAAUAGCCAUGGUACUGGAAAAUAUUUUUCUAACUGCUGGGAACAGUGUGUGAAAUCCAUGCCAGGACAUAUUUCCUUCAAAUAUUCGGACAGUGGAAGAAGUUGAUUUCAGCUUCUGCGUUUUUCAAACUGCAGUUGAAAGCUUGCACUACAGCGUGUGUGUGUGUGUGUGUGUGUGUGUGUGUGUGUGUGUGUGUAUUAGUGGUACAGUCGUACCUCAGAAGUCAAGCAGAAUCCAUUCUGGAAGUCUGUUCGACCUCUGAAAUGUUUAAUUUCCAAAGUGCAGCUUCUUAUUGGCUGCAGGAAGCUCCUGCAGCCAAUUGGAAGUCAUGGAAGCCCCGUUGGACGUUCAGCUUCCAAAAGAAUGUUCGAAAACUGGAACGCUCACUUCUGGUUUUUGAUUGUUUGGGAGCCGGAAUGUUUGACUCCCAAGGCAUUCAGUAGCCGGGGUACGACUGUAUAUCCCAUUGUAAAGGGCUGCCUAAAUGAAGAAAAGGGAGCUGACCACUCACACCACUAUUUCUAUUUCAUUUAACAGGAUAGGUUUAGGGUGGCAGAGUCUACAACCAAUCACAAACUACCUGCCCUGUGUGGGAAAGAGGAAAACAUGUAGGACAGAUUGCAUAUGUAAGCCUAGCACAUGAAAUAGUAUUAAAUUGAGUAAGUCAGAGAUCCUCAGAAAAUCAAGUCACUUCUGUUUAGGUACCUUAAUGAAUGUUAAAAUGUUUUGAUCUCGGUUUAAGAUUUAAGAUGGUGCUUUAUCUUUGAAUCCCAGAGAGAAUCCUAGCUGAAUUAUUUUCACUAUCCUUUUGAUAGCAAUUUAAUAUGUUGCUGACUGUUCCCCCCCCCUAAAAAAAAAGAAGACAUGUUGGAGACUGCAUUCAUCCACUUGUCCAUAUAUCUGUAUAUCCUUUGUUUGAGUACAGUGACUGGUUUUCAAUAAAACCCCAGACACUUCACUUUUGCUUAUGCUCACCUUCUCUAUAGCUAUUUUUGUAUAAUAUAGGGAAGGAUAGAUGAUGGGGUAGCUAUCAACAUCUUGAUUACUGGAUACCAUCUCUCUCUGUUCUAAUUUCAUGCUAUUUCCUUUUCAUCCAGUACCAUAAGAAGCCCCCUUUCUACAGUGCUGACACUAGAAUAUAUCUAUAAAAUACUUGUAUUAAAUCCAAUAAAGCUGUGUUUUUUACUCGUGUAUAGUAAUACUCUGGAUAAAUCUUCUUAAGCUUUCUGGGUCUUAUUUGACACUAAAUUAAA